UACGUAGGUGGCGAGCGUUGUCCGGAAUUACUGGGUGUAAAGCGCGCGUAGGCGGGAGGCCAAGUCCGCUGUGAAAUCGCCCGGCUCAACUGGGCGCGGUCGGUGGAAACUGGUCACCUGGAGGACGGUAGAGGCGAGUGGAAUUCCCGGUGUAGUGGUGAAAUGCGUAGAGAUCGGGAGGAACACCAGUGGCGAAGGCGGCUCGCUGGGCCGGCCCUGACGCUGAGGCGCGAAGGCGUGGG
rnacentral:rRNA from 1 species